GGGCGAGCGUUGUCCGGAAUUAUUGGGCGUAAAGGGCUCGUAGGUGGUUCGUUAAGUUAGAUGUGAAAUUGUACGGCUUAACCGUGCACUGGCAUCUGAUACUGGCGGGCUUGAGGCAGGUAGAGGAGAAUGGAAUUCCUGGUGUAGCGGUGGAAUGCGCAGAUAUCAGGAGGAACACCGAUUGCGAAGGAAGUUCUCUGGGCCUGUGCUGACGCUGAGGAGCGAAAGCGUGGGGAGCGAACA
rnacentral:rRNA from 1 species